rnacentral:rRNA from 1 species
ACGGCUCAGUAACACGUGGAUAACCUGCCCUAGGGGAGGGGAUAACCCCGGGAAACUGGGGAUAAUACCCUAUAGGUUACAGAUGCUGGAAUGCCCUGUAACCAAAAGCUCCGGCGCCCUAGGAUGGAUCUGCGGCCGAUUAGGUUGUUGUUGGGGUAACGGCCCAACAAGCCCGUAAUCGGUACGGGUUGUGGGAGCAAGAGCCCGGAGUUGGAUUCUGAGACACGAAUCCAGGCCCUACGGGGCGCAGCAGGCGCGAAACCUUUACAAUGCGGGCAACCGUGAUAAGGGAACCUCGAGUGCCUGUAAACGCAGGCUGUUCAGGUGUUUAAAACGCACCUGGAGAAAGGGCCGGGCAAGACCGGUGCCAGCCGCCGCGGUAAUACCGGCGGCUCGAGUGGUGGCCGCUUUUAUUGGGCUUAAAGCGUUCGUAGCUGGGUUGUUAAGUCUCUUGGGAAAUCUGGCGGCUUAACCGUCAGGCGUCUAAGGGAUACUGGCAAUCUUGGAACCGGGAGAGGUGAGGGGUACUUCGGGGGUAGGGGUGAAAUCCUGUAAUCCUCGAGGGACCACCUGUGGCGAAGGCGCCUCACCAGAACGGCUUCGACAGUGAGGGACGAAAGCUGGGGGAGCAAACCGGAUUAGAUACCCGGGUAGUCCCAGCCGUAAACGAUGCGCGUUAGGUGUAUCGGUGACCACGAGUUACCGAGGUGCCGAAGGGAAACCGUGAAACGCGCCGCCUGGGAAGUACGGUCGCAAGGCUGAAACUUAAAGGAAUUGGCGGGGGAG